AAAGAAAAUUUCUUAUCCUCUUUAUAUUCAUGUCUUUUAGAGGGUAUUUAGAAACUCAUAAAGUUCUCUCAUCAUUCCCUUUAUAUUUGCCUCAUAAAAUUUUUUCUUCUCGUUGACCAGCUAAACUGGGAGCGACUAAUAUCAAAAAGACAAAAAAUUGGAUGGAUUUCCAUUAAUGGAGAUAAUUUUGAAGGACAUUUUAAUCUAAAGGAUAUGCCUCGGGUAGAAAUUUGCCCAAAAUAAAAUUUGCAGAGAUGACAGGAGCUUCACUCCAACGCCGACAAUGCGUCCUCGGCUUAAAAGAUCAUCCUAAAUUACUCAAAAAACCCCCAGCCAAUGCUCUUUCCUGCGCUCGAAGACCCUCUCCACUUAUCUCACAAAAAUCUACUCUCUCUCCCCCUCGAUUCACCGUUAUUCUUCCCUAAAACCUGCAAUCUCUCUGCAUCCUUCGCCUGCAAUUGACAAUGCAAAUCUCUCGUGCUUUCUCUUCUCUUCUCGGCGGAACCCUAAUUGGAUAUUCACCGCCGGCGAAUUCUCCGGCGGGACUUAUUUGAGCUGUUCAUUUUAGGGUUUAUCUAUUCUAUUCGAUUGGUACUGAUUCUACUUCUUGAAUUCUAGGGUCUCUCUCUAUCUUUAGCUCUUGCUCUUUCUCUUUUGGUGUGCACUGUCAAUCAACAACUGCAACAACAGCAGUAACGCCUAUGGCUCCGGGGCGUAAAAAAGGAGCGAACAAGGUAAAAGCAAAUAGUGAAUUGACUUUGGGCGAUCUUGUUCUUGCUAAAGUCAAGGGGUUCCCAGCUUGGCCUGCCAAGAUAAGCCGCCCUGAAGAUUGGGAAAGAGUUCCUGACCCUAAGAAAUGUUUUGUCCAGUUCUUUGGAACUGAAGAAAUAGCUUUUGUUGCACCUGCUGAUAUUCAGAUAUUUACAAGUGAAUUAAUGAGUAAAUUGUUGGCUCGAUGUCAAGGUAAAAGUAGAUAUUUUGCCCAAGCAGUGAAAGAAAUCUCUGCAGCAUUUCAACAGUUACAGAAGGAAAAGUCAAGCAGUUUACAAGGUACUGAUAGAUCAGAACCUGGCUGUGAGGGUGCCUCUGUUGAUAGGAUAACAGAUGAUAUAGAGCUUGAAUUGAAUGGUGGCAUGGGCACUAGCGAAUCCAAAAUAGAAACAUGGGAUGAUGAGGGUGAUUUUGAUUCUAAGUUGAAGCAUUGUUCACAUAGACAAGGUCAAACUGAGUAUGAGGAUAUAAAGCCUUCUAUUUCAUCUGAUGCGAAUGAUGCUUCAUCCCUGGUUAUGUCUUCUGAGAAGAAAGCUGAAAUAUCAAAUGGUGAACCACAGUUAGUAUUAUCUAAUAUAAAGGAUGAAGAGUCUGGUGAUGUACAUGGAAAUGUUAGUUGCACAAAGAAACCUGGCAAUGCUGAGAGAGCAGGGAUGAAUAUUCAUAAGUUUAAGAGUAUGGCUAAUGAAACAAAGAGGAAACAUGAAGAUGCUACUGGCGGGAAUAAAAAAGAUAGUUCUGGGGUCUAUGUUCUCUCUAAUAAUGUUAAAAAAUUGAAAGAUAGAGAGGAAGAAAAAAAUGCUUCGGGUGGCACUGUAACAGGGUUUUCUCCUGAUGCUCUUGUAUCAGAUUCUGAAGCUGUUAAGUCAGAUUCUGAAAUCAGAACUGGAAUAAAACCAAAACAACUGCAAAAAGGAAAAAAUAGCUGUAUAGUGCCUGAUAGUAUGCAUGAAAAUGUAUCAAAUUGCAUGGGUGAGGUUUCUGACAAGAAAAAGAGGGCCCAAUCUGGGCUUGGAAAAACAAGUGAAACUUCACAUCCUGCAAAAAAAACAAAGUGUUUACAUGUAGGGGAUGCUGCUGCUAAGGCAUCUCUCACAAAAAACACAAAGAAUGAUUCCCCAAGCUCAAAUGCAGUCAAACACUCUACCUCACAUGACAAAAGAGAAAUCCUCUUGGCUUUAAGAGCCCAAACAGGAAAAGGGAAAACUGAUGGUUUUUCUCAAGCUGCAAGAAAUAAAUCUAAUAUUUCUUCCCAAACAGGGAAAGCUAAAUCUGCUGUCUCCAUACAAACAGGAAAAGGUAAAUCCACCAUUUCCAGUGAUGAAGCGGUGCUGCCUGUAUCAAAAUGUCAUAGGCGGGCAAUGGAGGCAAUGUCCGACUCUGUUUUCUUUAAUUCAAAUGAUAAGACUGAUAAAGAUUGUGGAGAACUGAAGAUUGCUUCUAAUAAUGUUAGUGUUCUAGUUAAUCAACUCCCCAAAAGACGGAGAGCUGUUUGCCUAUACGAUGAUGAUGAUGAUGAAGAGGAAGAUCCCAAAACUCCAAUUCAUGGUGGAUCCUCCAAAAGUAUUAGAGUACCUUCACUUGUGUUUGGUACUUCUAUAAGAACAGACUCUCAUAUUGGGAGUUCUGUUAAUCAUCAGCAUGGCGGCUCUAUUGACGUUCUAUCAAGUGUUGAUGAUUCCACCAGAUUUGAGCGUAGCAGUUCAAAGGAAUCAUUUUCACAAGUGCAUGUUGAAUCUCUUUCACCUUUCCGAUCGAAAAGUGUGAAGUUGCCUGAUACACUGGACUUUUUUAGUCCUGUGAAAUUAGCAGGUGAGCAGUUAUUGUCCAAGGAUGCAAAAUUAAUUUUGAAUUCCCCCAAGAAGUCUCCUCAUCUGCCUGUGACCAGGCCACCCCUGGAACAGCAUGAAGCCACAAAACCUUUAUUUAAAGCUUCCAACGGGUGUCCUAUGAAAAAAGCCCAGUCUGUGUCUACUAAGUCGGGUCUGGUUUCUGAUAGUUUGAAUACUUCUCAAAAUCAUGUGGUGGGUCAAAGAAAUAGACAAGGUAUAUCAGGAGAAAGACUCAAAAGUACUCCUAAAGGACAGAUGGGUGACCCUGCUGUUUUAAUGGAACCAUCAACAGAACAAGAAGUGGUUACAGAAGAUGGAAGCAGUUCAUUGGUUGAUUCCAAGACUCCAGAUUCAGUUAUGUCCAUGAAGCACCUUAUUGCUGCCGCUCAAGCAAAGAGGAGAGAAGCUCACUCACAACAUUUCCCUCUUGGAAACCCUUAUUCUUCUUUUAUAUCCAUCAAUGAUUCUCAAGGAAGAAGUCCCAGUCCCUCAUCAUUCCAACCUUUUUUAUCUGGCACCAGCACUGUGUUACAUACUGAUUUACAUGGCUUCCAACAGCAUGUAGUUUCUUCAUCUGCUCAUGAUCAUCAAUCAGCAUCAUGCAACCAAGUGGAUACAGAAGAUCUUGAGGAGCAAAGAGUUAGUUCUGGCCACAGAGCUAUUGGAGGCUCUCUGAGUGGUGGAACUGAGGCUGCUGUAGCUCGUGAUGCUUUUGAGGGGAUGAUAGAGACUUUAUCAAGGACAAAGGAAAGUAUUGGCCGUGCAACUCGGCUUGCCAUUGACUGUGCCAAGUAUGGCAUUUCCAAUGAGGUUGUGGAACUUCUAAUCCGGAAAUUGGAAUCUGAAUCCAGUUUCCACCGUAAAGUGGACCUAUUUUUUCUUGUUGAUUCAAUCACUCAGUGUUCACAUAAUCAAAAAGGGAUUGCUGGAGCUUCAUAUGUUCCAACAGUUCAAGCAGCAUUACCACGACUUUUGAGUGCUGCUGCUCCUCCGGGAAACGGUGCUCGUGAAAAUCGUCGUCAGUGUCUCAAGGUUCUACGUUUGUGGCUUGAGAGGAAAAUUUUACCUGAAUCUGUUUUGAGGCAAUAUAUGGAUGAUAUUGGAAUUUCAAAUGAUGAUUCUUCUGCUGGAGUUACCCUUAGACGCCCAUCUCGAGCUGAGAGAGCUGUAGAUGAUCCCAUCAGAGAAAUGGAAGGCAUGCUUGUAGAUGAAUAUGGCAGCAAUGCUACAUUUCAGUUGCCUGGCUUUUUAUCUUCUAGUGUAUUUGAAGAGGAAGAUGAGGAAGAUGAUCUUCCUGGUAGUUCAUUGAAGGAAGGUGCUUGUGUGUCAACGCUAGCAGACACCACUCGUACUUUAGGAGAUAAGGAAACAUUUAAUAUUACUCCAAAUGACAGGCGUCAUUGCAUCUUAGAAGAUGUGGAUGGUGAACUUGAAAUGGAAGAUGUGUCUGGACAUCAAAAGGAUGAGAGAUCAUUAUUAUCAAGUUCUGUUGAAGUGGAUGCCCCACAACUUUGCUCAGAUGAAGUUCUGGAGCCUGUAGUCACCAAAUCUGUUGAGCUUCCUGCUCUACCCGAGGGUUCUCCACCAUUGCCUCCUGAUUCUCCUCCCCCACCCCCGCCUUUGCCCCCAUCACCACCACCCCCACCUCCACCCCCUACAUCACCACCACCUCUUCCACCACCACUUCCAUCACAGCCACCUCCUCCAGUACCACCUUCAGGCCCUCCACAAUCAUUGGUACCUCAACCGUUAACACCAACUCAACCUUCCUUGAUAUCUCAAUCAAUUCUACCAUCUGUGUCAUCAUUACAGUCCUCACCACAGUUGGCGUAUGCACCAGCUGGACCCCAUGAAUAUUGCAGUACAUCCAGUGGUAAUCAACUUACUCAAAUGUCUGGAAAUAUUCAUGGGAAUCUUAUGGCUGUUGGUGUAAAGAGUGAACUGUUUCCACAGAAGUCUUCUUGCUUCACGCCUGCAGCAGUUUGCAGUUCUAGAGAAUCUUCAGGAUAUAAUCCUUCAAGGCAAUUGGAAUAUGGACAUAAUGACCUGUAUUUAAAUCCCCAAGCUUCUCAACAAAACCCACAUUUUCAACCAGGAAAUGCGUCUUUCACACAUAGAUCUUUGCAUUCAACCUUGCCACAAAAUGUAUGUGGUCAAUUUUCUUUUGCAAAGCCAGCGAUUCAGCAACAUCCUCAGCAUUCAUUUCCUCAUCCAUAUCCUGUCCCUUCUCAUCCUGAUGGAAGAAGGCGUUUUGUUGGUGAUGAUAUUUGGAGGUUGCCGUCAAGUGAAUUUAACACAGAUAAUCAGCAUGGCACAUGGAUGAGUGGAAGAACUCCUGCACAUCCAGGCCCUUUUGGACAUGAAGGCUACUUUCGGCCACCCCUUGAAGGACCACCUUCUAAUAAUAUGGGUUUCCAGCCCAACAAUUUACCUGCUGGAGCUCCAAUACCAGGUCAUGGUGGUGUUUCACACAUGUUGCCAUGUAGACCAGACAUGCCUGCCCUUAAUUGCUGGAGACCAGCUUAAGAACGUGACAAAAACUGAAGCUGCAGGCAGGACUACAUUUUGUGAAUUCACUCAAGUACAACUUAAAAUGAAGUUUCCACUUCUGGACAAGAGACAACUGGCAUUUGAAGGCUAUGUUUAUACCCUAUGGAAGCUCUUGGCAGGACUGUAUAUAUUGUAGUAUUUCCUGACAAAUGUAUUCCGGGAACAUUGUCUUCGAGUGUAGGCCCAUGUUCUAACUUGGUUGAGCAAAACAUUAUGCGAAACAUUGCUGUCAUUUUUGACUUUUCGACAUCGUAAAAACUGAAGAAUAAGAUUCUCCGGCAGACAAUUUCUGCAAAAAAUUGAGGUAAAUAUUAAUCAUGGAUUUUCAAGCCAGAUGACAUACAUAAUUUUGUCUUUUUGGAUAGAAAUUAGCUUAAAAGAAUGUUCUAUAAACAAUUGUUUAUUUUUUUCCAAGAAAGAAAAAGUUAUAGCAAUUAGUUAACAAAGUAUCAAGUCCUUGUGAAUGUCUAUGAUAUAAUACAUUCGGGUUCUGAUUUGUAUUUACUACCGUCAAGUUUUCCUCUUUGAUAUUUACAUAAAAAGUUCCGAUUUCAGGAGUA